rnacentral:rRNA from 1 species
GACGAACGCUGGCGGCGUGCUUAACACAUGCAAGUCGAACGGAAAGGCCCUGCUUUUGUGGGGUGCUCGAGUGGCGAACGGGUGAGUAACACGUGAGUAACCUGCCCUUGACUGUGGGAUAACUUCAGGAAACUGGGGCUAAUACCGGAUAGGAGCUCCUGCUGCAUGGUGGGGGUGGGAAAGUUUCGGCGGUUGGGGAUGGACUCGCGGCUUAUCAGCUUGUUGGUGGGGUAGUGGCUUACCAAGGCUUUGACGGGUAGCCGGCCUGAGGGGGUGACCGGCCACACUGGGACUGAGAUACGGCCCAGACUCCUACGGGAGGCAGCAGUGGGGAAUAUUGCACAAUGGGCGGAAGCCUGAUGCAGCAACGCCGCGUGCGGGAUGACGGCAUUCGGGUUGUAAACCGCUUUCGCCUGUGACGAAGCGUGAGUGACGGUAAUGGGUAAAGAAGCACCGGCUAACUACGUG